rnacentral:rRNA from 1 species
AGAGUUUGAUCCUGGCUCAGGAUGAACGCUGGCGACGUGCUUAACACAUGCAAGUCGAACGAAGCACUUUAUUUGAUUUCCUUCGGGACUGAUUAUUUUGUGACUGAGUGGCGGACGGGUGAGUAACGCGUGGGUAACCUGCCUUGUACAGGGGGAUAACAGUUGGAAACGGCUGCUAAUACCGCAUAAGCGCACGGCAUCGCAUGAUGCAGUGUGAAAAACUCCGGUGGUAUAAGAUGGACCCGCGUUGGAUUAGCUAGUUGGUGAGGUAAUGGCCCACCAAGGCGACGAUCCAUAGCCGACCUGAGAGGGUGACCGGCCACAUUGGGACUGAGACACGGCCCAAACUCCUACGGGAGGCAGCAGUGGGGAAUAUUGCACAAUGGGCGAAAGCCUGAUGCAGCGACGCCGCGUGAGCGAAGAAGUAUUUCGGUAUGUAAAGCUCUAUCAGCAGGGAAGAUAAUGACGGUACCUGACUAAGAAGCACCGGCUAAAUACGUGCCAGCAGCCGCGGUAAUACGUAUGGUGCAAGCGUUAUCCGGAUUUACUGGGUGUAAAGGGAGCGCAGGCGGUGCGGCAAGUCUGAUGUGAAAGCCCGGGGCUCAACCCCGGUACUGCAUUGGAAACUGUCGUACUAGAGUGUCGGAGGGGUAAGCGGAAUUCCUAGUGUAGCGGUGAAAUGCGUAGAUAUUAGGAGGAACACCAGUGGCGAAGGCGGCUUACUGGACGAUAACUGACGCUGAGGCUCGAAAGCGUGGGGAGCAAACAGGAAUAGAUACCCUGGUAGUCCACGCCGUAAAC